GGUUCUAAAGUAAAUUCAUACAAAGAAUAUAAUAGAACUAAAAGGACGCGGUAACCUUGACCGUGAUAAUGUAGCAUAAUCACUCGCCAUUUAAUUGGUGGAUAGUAUGAAUGGUUGAACGAAUAUCCCACUGUCUUAAAGAAAAUUAAGAGAAAUUGAAAUAAUAGUUAAGAUGCUAUUUUAAACUGUAAGACGAAAAGACCCUAUAGAGCUUAACUAUACUCUCUAUUAUUAAACCGAAUUAUAAAUUCGCAAAUUAUAGAGACUGGUAGUUUAGUUGGGGCGACUAUCUUUUAAAUUAAACAAAGAUAAGCAAUAUUAAUAAAAGAUUUAUUGUAUAAUUAAUUUAUUUAACAAUUAUUAAAAUAGGCUAUAAUGACCCGUUAAUAUUUUGUAAACAAGUUAACGAUCAAUUGAUAAAAGCUACCUUAGGGAUAACAGGAUAAUUUCAUUUUAGAGCUCCUAUCGAAAAUGAAGUUUGUCACCUCUAUGUUGAAUUAA
rnacentral:rRNA from 1 species